GAAUAUCUACGGCUGCAGACACCAGUGGUACCUCUCUUCGGCAACAUCAGCAGCCGCUGCCUGAUGUUACUACAAGACCGCUUCUUUUUCUAUCGACUCCGUAGCUAGGCAACAAGUGUGUGCGAACAGCUGAAAAAGAAAUGCCACAUCGAAGUAGAGAACAUGUUAUUCGCAUCAGACAGAAGAAGAAAUAAGCAAAAGUUUAUUGCUGGAAUAUUUAAAACGGAAAGCAAAAGCAAAGAGAAGAAAACAGAUGUGAUCUAUACCAACUCAGAAGAACAGGAUAUAACAUCGUUAUUUUCAUCACCAUCAACACAAUCGGCUUUAUUAUUACUAGUAUUAAUAUAUGUGUUUUUAUUAACAGCACCGAGUAGAAAUUGUGUACAGCGAAAGACAUAAUCAAUGAAAAAAGAAAGGAAGACUCCAAAAUAGAAUAAAGAAAAGAUUAAAACUAAAACAGAGAGAAGACAAGAAAACAAAAACAAACAGACAUUAAACUAACAAGGAAAUAUUAAGAUUUUUCGUAACAUUUUCAUACAAAUGAAUUUUAAUUAUUCAUUCAUUUAUAUGUACAUAUUGUGUAAUUUCGAUCAGGUUUUACAUCAGAUUCCGAAUUAAAUGAUAGAAUAAAUAUGAAAUUAGCCUGGCAACGUUAAUGGACAACAUGGCUAAAUAGAUUAUCUAUUGGAUAAAUCCAGGAAAAAUACCUAACAAUCAAGAUUUAUAAAUACUCACACGCGCACACAUAUUUGUCUUUCGUUCUUUCAUAAGAAACACCGAGGCAAUUUAAUCAAAGAAACUUGACACCUGCAACUAAGUAACAAAAUGUAAGUAGAUGUCUGUAGAUAUAUAUUUGUUUGUAAUGUCAGUCGCAAAAAUGAAGGAAAAAAAAAGACAAUCAGUAAACAGAAAAAAAAAUGUAAAACAGAGAAGAAAAAAGCGUGAAAUAUAAGUUUGUGAUUAUGCUAAUAAAUGCUUGCCACUUGCUGAAAGAAAUAUUAUUACUUUAUUUAAUUCCGACUUAGAAUCGCGU
rnacentral:lncRNA from 1 species